AUACUUAGUUGGCAGGGGAGAUACCAUGACCGUGAGGUUAGUUUUCCCAGGGAGAAGCAUAUGCAUUGUACUCUGAGUGUGCUGAGCCCUGUGAUUUUCCCAAAUGUGGGAAACUUGACUGCAUAAUUUGUAAUAGUGAGAGGAUGUUUGCACUCUCC
ensembl:snRNA U1 U1 spliceosomal RNA